rnacentral:rRNA from 1 species
UACAUGAUAGACGGUCUGACCUGCCCACUGAAUUUUUAAAUGGCCGCAGUAUAUUAACUGUGCAAAGGUAGCAUAAUCAUUAGUCUUUUAAUUGAAGGCUGGAAUGAAUGGUUGGACGAAAUAUUAACUGUUUCAUAUAAAUUUAUAAUAAAAUUUUAUUUUUUAGUCAAAAAGCUAAAAUUAAAUUAAAAGACGAGAAGACCCUAUAAAUCUUAAUAUUUUUAUUAUUAUAAUUAUAUAGAUUAAUUUUAUUAUAAUAAUUAAAUAUAUUUUAUUGGGGUGAUAUUAAAAUUUAAUAAACUUUUAAUUUAUUAAAUCAUUAAUUUAUGAAUAUAUGAUCCAGUUUUACUGAUUAAAAAUUUAAGUUACUUUAGGGAUAACAGCGUAAUUUUUUUGGAGAGUUCAUAUCGAUAAAAAAGAUUGCGACCUCGAUGUUGGAUUAAGAGAUAAAUUUGGGCGCAGCCGUUCAAAAGUUAAGUCUGUUCGACUUUUAAAUUCUUACGUGAUCUGAUUU